AUGAGAAAGAGUGGAGAGGCUUGAUGAGGAAAAAAGAGGAUAUAGAUGAUAUUUCUUCAUGAAAGAUCUCUCUUUGUACAUAGAAUUUAGAAAAGAAGAAAGAAACUUAGGAGGAAGACUUUAUGAUGGAUUCAGGAAAGAAGAAGAAGGCCUUCAUCAAUAGAUGAAAAGGGAUUGAUGUUUUCACAUAUGUAGGAGAAAAGAAUUUGGAGAGA
rnacentral:lncRNA from 1 species